UCUUGUUAUUUUACUAAAAAGACAAUGAGGAUAUCAAAGAACGACUUGAGGAGUCGACCUGAAGGCCUCUCCAUACUCAAGAAUGAUUUCAUGCGACGUGGACCAGGAUCAGUCAUGUCGAAUACUAUGCACAUGACCUGACCUGUAUACUGCUGCCUUUAUUGAACUUGAAACCUCAUCACCUGGACUGGAUCCAGCUACAAAAAACUCAGAGGUGGAAUUCUGUGUGUUUGUUAUGGAUCUGUUGUUUUCAGGUUUUGAGUUGGUCUUCAUCAUCAUUGCUUUCACUAUUAUGUGCUUAUUUGGCCUGGCUGCUGUCUACACACACAAUAGAGAUCAUCAAGAUGACUUAAUUCAGACAGAAGAGAAGAUAAUGCAACAAAAGAGUAACUCAAAGAAAAAACAGCGAGGUGUCCCCAAAACCAACCAAGAGCUACCAUGAACACACGAACAAACAGAUUUCAUAUAAAUACAGAAUCCUUCUGUUGGUGCUCGUUGAAUUAAAAGGCAUGGCGCACCAAAUGCAGCUAAUCAGUGUGUGAAGGUCUCUGACACUGAAAAUGGACUUGCUGUCGAGCUCAUCUUUUAGUUGACCCUGAA